AUGUCUAGUUUGGAAGAACCCAAGGGAACCUCAAGAGAAGUAAUCAGAGUUUAUUUUGGAAAGGGGAUAUUGAACCUUUUUCUUGCUUCCUGUUUGGGGCUUGAAAACAUAACUGCUGUGGAGCAUAGCUUCUCACAUCCCAUCACAGAAAAAGAGGGACAAGCACUGAGGUAAGGUAGAGAGCUCACCUGGUUUGGAUACCUGCAGAAAUGUGACUUCUAGGUAUAUUAAUUUUAAGAAUGACUGAACCUGUCUUUGGGCCCAACCUAAUGGACCUUUGGGGAAAAGUGGUAAUUUGAUCCUCUGACAGAUGGUAGGAAGUGGACAGGCUAGGCAUUUUGGCAUACAGGGGCAAAGAGACUGAUAAGGGUUUGCAGUGGUCUCAAGAAAGUAGGAAUGGUUAAGUCAGCAUGGUAGUGCCAUUAGGCCCUGAGGAAGUUGAGAAAGACAGUAGGAGUUGCUUAUCCUCAGAUAUCCCUAGUAGGUAACAGCAGAGCCCUGUUUUCUGGAUCAGGCAGCUACCUCUCAGUGGGCAUGAGUCAGUACCAAAUCCAAGGGACAGCACCAACUCCAGGGAUCAAAUCCUCCUACUUCUACAAGGUCAUAUGAACCUUGCCCAUGAAACACGAUGAUUUUAGAAAGAGGAGGGAGACAAUUCCUCAGAUGUUGCUGAACCACUUAUAUGAAAUGAGUUAUUAAAAAAAGAUACAUUAGAGUAGCUCAAAUAGAUCAUUAGAUGUCAAAUGCUCCAAUGUACAGAGACUUGUUUAAAUCAACAUUUAAAGAAAUAGUGCCUCAGAGCAAGGUGCAGUUGAGUAAAGAACUAAGGAAUUAGAGGAACUAAGGAAUUCUCAGAAGAGAGAAGAGCAAAUGCAAAAGGCUUUGAUCGUGGGGAUGGAGCAGGGGAUUUGGAGAGUUGGAGAUUAGUAGGAUGGUCAAGAAAUAGCAAGGAAUUUCAGGUGACCACCUGAGGGGCUGAAGGAAGGCAUGAGUAAUAGGAGAAAAAAAAUUUUAAUGGAGCAUCAAUACCAGAAUAGCCAUGUCAACCACAUGAGGACAUUGACUUUUAAUCUGAGAAAGGAGAACACAGACUCCAAUUUAAAAGGUUGGCUCAUAGGUAUGACCUGAUCUGACCUGAAAUGGUAGGAGUUAAAUAAAGGUAGGAACAAGGCAAUUAUUUCA
rnacentral:lncRNA from 1 species